rnacentral:sRNA from 1 species
UUGCCUGACCUCAGAGGGAGCCCCUCCCCAGUGCUCUGCCCUUUCUUCUGCCCCAGGUUCAGCAGGUCAAGUGAGUUCCUCCUCCCACAGCGGAAGGAGGUGUUGGGGGGCAUGGAGGAAAGAAAGCGGGUGCAAGAAGGAGCACGCUCAGGCUGGGGCAGCACCCAGGGCCGUAGGACUUGGGAAUGGAGGGUGUCUGUCUGGACCCGCUGGUGCAGAGGGCACAAAAGCUGGGCUGGGGCAGGACAGACGGGCCGGAGUGUAGUGAGUGGCCUGUGGGAGGGGCAGGGGGCUCCCAUGCAGAAGCUCUGGGCAGCAGCCCUGACCCAUCCGUGCCUGGACUGCAGCGCUGCCCGCUUCCCCCUGGCAAACAGGUGGCAGCCUCCUGACAGAGGAAGCCGGCCCAGGCCGCCGUGUCUGCAGUUGGGUGCUGUGCGCUGCCCAGAGGGCUCUUUGGGCUGGAGAGAGAAAACAAGAACAGACACCCAGUGGAGGUGGCUUUGCUGGAGGGACAGACAGUUGAUCAUAGUGGAGCUGGUGAGAGGAAGCUGCACCCAAAAGCCAUGGCCGGGAACCUGGAUCUGACUGCAGGGAAACAGAAGCGUGGUGGGCGCUGGGCGAUGAUGGAAUUUCUAACAAAUGCUUUGUUUCUGCUA